GACGAACGCUGGCGGCGUGCUUAAUACAUGCAAGUCGAACGGAAAGACCAUGCUCUUGUUGGUUGCUCGAGUGGCGAACGGGUGAGUAACACGCGUGUAACCUGUACUUGACUUUGUGAUAUCUUCAGGAAACUGGGGCUAAUACCGCAUAGGAUCUACUGCUGCAUGGUGGGGGAUGGAAAGAUUCGGCGGUUGGGGAUGGUCUGGCGGGUUCUGCGCCUGUUGGUGGGGUAGUGGAUUACAAAGGCUGUGACGGCUAGGCGGCCUGAGAGGGUGGCCAGGCACAAUGGGACUGAGAGAGGGCCCAGUCUGCUACGUGAGGCAACAGUGGAGAAUAUUGCACAAUGGGCGGGAGCCUGAUGCAGCAACGCCGCGUGCGGGAAGACGGGCUUCGGGGUGUAAACCGCUGUCGCCUGUGACGAAGCGUGCGUGACGGUAAUGGGUAAAGAAGCAACGGCUAACUACGUG
rnacentral:rRNA from 1 species